rnacentral:lncRNA from 11 species
GUGGAUUUCCAUGACUGAGUGUGGAUUUAAAUGCUGUUCUUCAAAGUCUCAUGGUGGGCUGGGAGGAGAGGAGGAUACCAUCCCACUCCUCCUAACUUUUGGGAGGCCAAAGAAGUGGGAUGGCUGUGUGGACCUAUCCCGAAGAUUGUGGAAGCAGUCCCAGAAGUCAGUUCCCACAGGGCCCUCACCUAUAAAAACACUGAAGAAUCGCGACAUUUCCUCAGCAACUUCCAUAAAUGCUUAAACCCUGGAGAAUACUGUCUGCUCUGUUUUUCAACUUGGAGAGCCUUCUGA